rnacentral:rRNA from 1 species
GACAGAGGGUGCAAACGUUGCUCGGAAUUACUGGGCGUAAAGCGCGUGUAGGCGGACCUGCAAGUCAGACGUGAAAGCCCUGGGCUCAACCCAGGAACUGCAUCCGAAACUGCGGGCCUGGAGUGGUGGAGAGGGAAGCAGAAUUCCUGGUGUAGAGGUGAAAUUCGUAGAUAUCGGGAGGAACACCAGUGGCGAAGGCGGGCUCUCUGGGCAGGAACUGACACUGAGACGCGAAAGCGUGGGGAGCAAACAGG